CAACGUGAACACCGCCAUCUCUGGGUCAAAGACAUCACUCAUCAAAGAAAGUGAGCAACACCAAGAAUUUCAUCUUUCAGACUUAGGUUAAGGGCCACCAGAAGAGGAACACAUUGGUUGUUUCUUUAAGUGCUGAGAAUUUUAAAAAUAACACAGAACUGGUCUAAACCAAGCAUCUCAUAUGAUCUGGCACACUAUGUGCUAAAAGCCCUUUCUGAGUCUUCUUUAACUUUAACCUGGAAGUACUCUUGUGAGGUCAGUCCUGUCAUUAUCCUUGGAAAGAUGAGGAAACAAAGGGAACAGCUCAGAGAGGACAUUAACUUGCACAAGGUGACAAUGGCUGUACCCUGGGCUGUGUGCUGGCCUCCUUCCUGUAUAGGAUGCAGGUACUUCCUGGCACCUACAGGUUCCCAAGCUCUUUACAAAGUACUCUGCCGGUCUCAAUGCUCACAUCAACACGCAGGAGGAUGUGAGGCAUGGAGACACCGUGUCACAGUGAGAACCUGAGACCCACAGAAGCUCAGUGAGCCACCUUGGACUGCAAACAACCGCCAAGGGUCAGAACGGGGCUUCGGGGCAGGCAACUUCUGCUCUGACACCAAAACCUUCAGGACCACCUGUCUUAUGCGACCCAGAUUUCUUGAGUCCCAGAGAAUGGGAGGCAUCUUGGGGUCCCCAGUACCCAGGGCGUUCCCUGGUCUAACAUCUUGACUUAUUGGCUGACUGUUUUUUUCUCCUCACUGCAGACCAGUUUUGACUCUGUCCCAGCCAUAGAAGGCACACGGUCUAAAGGUGACGUGAACUCUUAGCUAGACCAAAAGUGGCAUGAAAAGUCCAAACCUCAUUGCCCAAGACUGGCAUAAAGGAAGAAAGGGAAGGCGUGACAGACAUCUUGUGUCUCAGCAUUAAGCACCAGUAUCAGCUGCUUCGGAAACUGGCGUCCAGCCCCAAUUGUCUCCCCUGUAAUUCAGCCACUGUUUUCUGAAGUGCCAGCCCAGGGCUUUGAGAGGAGUCAUAACAUAAAGAAGACUUACACGAUGGGUAAUCUCCACAGUCCCCAGUUUAGCAUAAAUGUUUGAGGCUACAGUCAUUCCUGGGUUUUAGCUUGUUUUGGUGUUUAUAGCCAUUUUUACAGUUACUAAUAGGCCUCAGUUCCCAUCUUUCCUUGCAGUGUUUCUGCUCAAACAUGUUUUGGUCAACUGGCUUAAAACUCAAAGAGAAAUAGCAAGUGGUGACGUCCCUCAUCUUGAUAUUAGUGAUAUGUGUGUUAAAACCAGGCAUGCAUGUGAAAAUGUCCAUUGAGACCAAUUGCCAC